rnacentral:rRNA from 1 species
UACGGAGGAUGCGAGCGUUAUCCGGAUUUAUUGGGUUUAAAGGGUGCGCAGGCGGAGGUGCAAGUCAGCGGUCAAAUUGCGGGGCUCAACCCCGUACUGCCGUUGAAACUGCAUCCCUUGAGUGCGCGAGAAGUAUGCGGAAUGCGUGGUGUAGCGGUGAAAUGCAUAGAUGUCACGCAGAACUCCGAUUGCGAAGGCAGCAUACCGGCGCGCAACUGACGCUCAUGCACGAAAGCGUGGGUAUCGAACAGG